GCUGAUUCUUCCUUUGCUUCAUUUGCAUCUGAGGGAGCUGGGUGAUCCAUGAGAGACUAUGUGGGAGUAGAGUUUCCAAUCUUUGAGGGAAGGAGAGUAAGCCACAGGAAUCCAGGAGCCAGAAUCCAGGCUAGAUGUUGCAGCCGACCCAGCAUCAAAAGCUCAAAGAGGAUGGAGUAGGUUUUGGAAGCAUCCUUCUCAACUCAUGCCAGUGAAAGUUGAAAUGAGGACUAAUCCAGCAGAAAUGCCAUCUUUGAUCUUGGUGGGACCAAAGCUUUGUAGGAUGAGAGCUAAAUUAUAAGUCUAAUCCACUCCAGAGAUCAAGAUGGUAUGGGGAGGGAGAUGGGAGAGGGCAGGGAUUUUUAUGAUGUGUUGGGGAAAAUUUUAUUUAACUCUAAUUUUGAAAAAAAAAAAUUUCUUUGUAAAAAGAUAACUGGUAUUAAGUGUUUAUAUGGAACUAGGUUGCUAGUCCCUGACUCCCAACAAAUGGGGGCUCAAAUGAAUGAGAGUAAAGAAAGACAUUCAACAAAACCCUCAGGUAUCUGGGAAUUCUAAUAGGAGCUACUCCAGGUCCAGCUCUGGGAAAGCAUGUUAUAUUAUCUUCUGUUCAGCUAUCCCCUUGAUUUCUAGUUUUUUACCACUAUAAAAAGAAAAUUGAAACUGCUAUUUUUUUUACACAUGAGCUCUCUUCUUUUUAUAAAAAUCUCUUUGAAAUGCAAUAUAACCAUAAUAAUGAUAUUUCUGGAUCAAACAGCACAUAUAUACAGUUUAGUGACUUUUAAAACAUUGUUAUAAAUUGCUUUCUAGUAUAGCUGGAUUAGUAUGCCUGUUUUUCUUCAGCCCUUCCAACGAUUGUCAUUUUUUAGUCAUCUUUGCCAAUCUGACAGAUAUGAAGAAGCUAAAAAUUGUUUUAAUUUCCUUUUUUUUACAUAGUUAUUGAUUACCUAAUUUCUUCUCUUGACAUCUAUAUUCAUAUUUUUUGACCAUUUAUCAAUUGGGAAAUGGCUUUUAUUUUUAUGAAUUUAAAAAAGUUCUAUAUAUACCUUGGAAAUAAGACUUUUAUUAGAGAAACUUGUUGCAAAGAUUUUUCCUCCCAGUUAACUAUUUUUGUUCAAAUUUUAGCUGCAUUUGAUGUAUUUUUGCAUUUUAAAAUAUUUAUGCAAUAAAAAUUAUACAUUUUCUCGUU